rnacentral:misc_RNA from 1 species
GAUGAAGAACGCAGUGAAAUGCGAUAAGUAGUGUGAAUUGCAGAAUUCAGUGAAUCAUCGAAUCUUUGAACGCACAUUGCGCUCUUUGGUAUUCCAAAGGGCAUGCCUGUUCGAGCGUCAUUUGUACCCUCAAGCUUUGCUUGGUGUUGAGCGUCUUGUCUCUAGCUUUGCUGGAGACUCGCCUUAAAGUAAUUGGCAGCCGGCCUACUGGUUUCGGAGCGCAGCACAAGUCGCACUCUCUAUCAGCAAAGGUCUAGCAUCCAUUAAGCCUUUUUUUUCAACUUUUGACCUCGGAUCAGGUAGGGAUACCCGCUGAACUUAAGCAUAUCAAUAAGCGGAGGA